AAUGAAAAUGAUUCGGAUGCAAUGUCAGAGGAAAGUUUUGAAAGUGAACUUUCACCCACAGAAAGGAGGUUGCACCAGGCUGCUCUUGUUUCUUGUGAUAUGCUUGAUGAGUCGGCGAGCAGUGACGAUGAGAAUAUUGACCAGCAGUUCCGUAUCCAACCUGCGAGAUCUCCUUUUGAUAGUUUUAGAAGGUCAUUCAGCACGGGUAAAAAACAAGAGGCUGACGGUAUGAGGCUUGCUUUAGGAAAAAGGUCUAUGCCAACAGACAACACAUGGAAAAAGCAUUCUCUAAACCAGUUUCGUGAAGCUCCAAGGGCCUUUUGGCCCAGUUGGGUUUACCAGAUGUACGAUUCAUACUCUCUUGCUCAAAGGGCAGCAGGUCGAUGGAAACAGAUAGUCAGGGCACCCAGCAUGGACAGUUACAUAACGAAGCCAGAUCUUCUUUCAUUUCAUAUUGCAAGUAAGAUGCCCGUGUCUGAAUCAACAAGGCAAGAGCUUUUGGAGAUUGAUGGAAUAUCCUAUAGAUUGAGACGGGAAAUUGAACUGCUCGAGAGUUUUGACUGUGUUCGGUGUAGAAGUUGUGAGACUCUAAUU
rnacentral:misc_RNA from 1 species